AUUGAACGCUGGCGGAAUGCUUUACACAUGCAAGUCGAACGGCAGCACGGGUGCUUGCACCUGGUGGCGAGUGGCGAACGGGUGAGUAAUACAUCGGAACGUACCCAGUCGUGGGGGAUAACGUAGCGAAAGUUACGCUAAUACCGCAUACGUCCUGAGGGAGAAAGCGGGGGACCGUAAGGCCUCGCGCGAUUGGAGCGGCCGAUGGCGGAUUAGCUAGUUGGUGGGGUAAAGGCCUACCAAGGCGACGAUCCGUAGCGGGUCUGAGAGGACGGCCCGCCGAACUGGAACUGAGACACGGUCCAGACUCCUACGGGAGGCAGCAGUGGGGAAUUUUGGACAAUGGGCGAAAGCCUGAUCCAGCCAUUCCGCGUGAGUGAAGAAGGCCUUCGGGUUGUAAAGCUCUUUCGGCAGGGAAGAAACGGCUUGGGAUAAUACCCCGGGCUAAUGACGGUACCUGAAGAAGAAGCACCGGCUAACUACGUGCCAGCAGCCGCCGUAA
rnacentral:rRNA from 1 species